UACAGAUGGACCCGCGGCGCAAUAGCUAGGUGGUGAGGUAACGGCUCACCAGGGCAACGAUGCGUACCCGACCUGAGAGGGUGAUCGGCCACAGUGGGACUGACACACGGCCCAGACUCCUAGGGGAGGCAGCAGUAGGGAAUCUUCCGCAGUGGACGAAAGUCUGACGGAGCAACGCCGCGUGAGUGAAAAGGGUUUUCAGAUCGUAAAACUCUGGUGUUAGGGAAGAACAAGUGCCGUUCGAAUAGGGCGGCACCGUGACGGUACCUAACCAAAAAGCCACGGCUAACUACGUGCCAGCAGCCGCGGUAAUACGUAUGUGGCAAGCGUUGUCCGGAUUUAGUGGGCGUAAAGCGCGCGCAUGUGGUUUCUUAACUCUGAUGUGAAAGCCCACGGCUCAACCGUGGAGGGUCAUUGGAAACUGGGGAACUUGAGUGCAGAAGAGGAAAGUGGAACUCCAAGUGUAGCGGUGAAAUGCGUAGAUAUUUGGAGGAACACCAGUGGCGAAGGCGACUUUCUGGUCUGUAACUGACACUGAGGCGCGAAAGCGUGGGGAGCAAACAGGAUUAGAUACCCUGGUAGUCCACGCCGUAAACGAUGAGUGCUAAGUGUUAGAGGGUUUCCGCCCUUUAGUGCUGCAGCUAACGCAUUAAGCACUCCGCCUGGGGAGUACGGUCGCAAGACUGAAACUCAAAGGAAUUGACGGGGGCCCGCACAAGCGGUGGAGCAUGUGGUUUAAUUCGAAGCAACGCGAAGAACCUUACCAGGUCUUGACAUCCUCUGACAACCCUAGAGAUAGGGCUUUCCCCUUCGGGGGACAGAGUGACAGGUGGUGCAUGGUUGUCGUCAGCUCGUGUCGUGAGAUGUUGGGUUAAGUCCCGCAACGAGCGCAACCCUUGAUCUUAGUUGCCAGCAUUCAGUUGGGCACUCUAAGAUGACUGCCGGUGACAAACCGGAGGAAGGUGGGGAUGACGUCAAAUCAUCAUGCCCCUUAUGACCUGGGCUACACACGUGCUACAAUGGACGGUACAAAGGGCAGCGAGACCGCGAGGUUUAGCCAAUCCC
rnacentral:rRNA from 2 species